GAUAGUGAUGAAGCAGCAGAUGUUGAAGCAGAUGAAGAAAGAGAAGAGAGGCGAGAAAGAGACGACCAACAGGAGCAACAUCAACACGACGAAGACGAUUCCUGUACGCGGCGUCGGGCUGGGAUAAGACGUGUCGAACGUGAUGCGAGAUAUAAAUGGUCUGCGCGUAGGAAGGAAUAUAGAGACGAAACAAGCGAAGGAGAUGGAGAAAGAAGAAAAAUGGAAAGCAGAGG